UUUUCUGGAAUGAAAUGAGAAUGAGAAUGAGAAAAGUUUCAAUCUUUUUCAUAAAGUCAUCAUCUUCUUCUGAAAGGGUAUUUUUUGUUCUAGCUCCCUUUUAACAUUCUUGGUUAUCUCGCACAUAUAUAAAGAUUAGAGCUUGAUGUGAGAAGAGAGAUUUCCAUUCAUGGACCAUUCCGUGCCCUGUUUUUCCAGAUAAAGUUUCACCUCAUUUUCUCCCUAUUAUCGAUCCAAUAAUUCUUCUCCUAAUAUAUAUAUAUUGCAGGCACAAUUAAUCUAAUCCCCUCAAUUUCACCAUUUUUUUUAUUUCAUUGACUUCCAAUUUUAAAUCUUGGAAUCUCCACCCAACCAAAUCCCUCUUCCAUCCAGCUCAUUCAAUUGGG
rnacentral:lncRNA from 1 species